GGAUUAUUGGGCGUAAGCGCGCGCAGGCGGUUUCUUAAGUCUGAUGUGAAAGCCCACGGCUCAACCGUGGAGGGUCAUUGGAAACUGGGGAACUUGAGUGCAGAAGAGAAAAGCGGAAUUCCACGUGUAGCGGUGAAAUGCGUAGAGAUGUGGAGGAACACCAGUGGCGAAGGCGGCUUUUUGGUCUGUAACUGACGCUGAGGCGCGAAAGCGUGGGGAGCAAACAGGAUUAGAUACCCUGGUAGUCCACGCCGUAAACGAUGAGUGCUAAGUGUUAGAGGGUUUCCGCCCUUUAGUGCUGCAGCUAACGCAUUAAGCACUCCGCCUGGGGAGUACGGUCGCAAGACUGAAACUCACAGGAAUUGACGGGGGCCCGCACGAGCGGUGGAGCAUGUGGUU
rnacentral:rRNA from 2 species